rnacentral:rRNA from 1 species
AUUGAACGCUGGCGGCAGGCCUAACACAUGCAAGUCGAACGAGUGGCGGACGGGUGAGUAAUGUCUGGGAAACUGCCUGAUGGAGGGGGAUAACUACUGGAAACGGUAGCUAAUACCGCAUACCAUCGGAUGUGCCCAGAUGGGAUUAGCUAGUAGGUGGGGUAAAGGCUCACCUAGGCGACGUUCCCUAGCUGGUCUGAGAGGAUGACCAGCCACACUGGAACGUGGACACGGUCCGAACUCCUAGGGGAGGAAGCAGUGGGGAAUAUUGGACAAUGGGCGCAAGCCUAAGGCAGCCAUGCCGGGUGUAUGAAGAAGGCCUUGGGGUUGUAAAGUACUUUCAGCGGGGAGGCGUUACCCGCAGAAGAAGCACCGGCUAACUCCGUGCCAGCAGCCGCGGUAAUAC